GUGCUCGCUUUGGCAGCACAAAUACUAAAAUUAAAGCGAUACAGAGAAGAUUAGCACGGCCUCUGCACAAGGAUGAUGAGCAAAUUCAUGAAGCGUUCCAUAUUUUU